rnacentral:rRNA from 1 species
CCAUGGGGAGGGAUAGAAUGCUAGUCGUGCGCCUUCUAGCCAUGCUGGAGGCGCGGCACACAGCUCAGUAACACGUGGCUAACCUGCCCUUGAGACGGGAGCAUCCCCGGGAAACUGGGGCUAAUUUCCGAUAGGUGAAGAUCCCUGGAAUGGGUUUUCGCCCAAAGGACGUUUAGGUCAUGCUUCUAGACGUUGUUCAAGGAUGGGGCCGCGGCCGAUCAGGUUGUUGGUGAGGUAAUGGCUCACCAAGCCUUUGACCGGUUCGGGCCGUGGGAGCGGUAGCCCGGAGAUGGGCACUGAGACAAGGGCCCAGGCCCUACGGGGCGCAGCAGUCGCGAAAACUUCGCAAUAAGCGAAAGCUUGACGGGGCCAUCCCGAGUGCCAUCUGCUGAGGAUGGCUUUUACCCAGUAUAGAUAGCUGGGGGAAUAAGGAGAGGGCAAGUCUGGUGUCAGCCGCCGCGGUAAUACCAGCUCUCCGAGUUGUGGGGACGUUUAUUGAGCCUGAAGCAUCCGUAGCUGGCUGGGCAAGUCCUCUGUUAAAUCCAGCGACUAAUCGUUGGCCUGCGGGGGAUACUGCUCGGCUAGGGGGCGGGAGAGGCCGUCGGUAUUCUUGGGGUAGGGGUGAAAUCCUAUAAUCCCAGGAGGACCACCAGUGGCGAAGGCUGUCGGCUAGAACGCGCCCGACGGUGAGGGAUGAAAGCUGGGGGAGCGAACCGGAUUAGAUACCCGGGUAGUCCCAGCUGUAAACGAUGCAGGCUAGGUGUUAGGGCGGCUACGUGCCGCUCUAGUGCCGCAGGGAAGCUGUUAAGCCUGCCGCUUGGGGAGUACGGCCGCAAGGCUGAAACUUAAAGGAAUUGGCGGGGGAGCACCACAAGGGGCGAAGCUUGCGGUUUAAUUGGAUUCAACGCCGGA